ensembl:misc_RNA 7SK 7SK RNA
CCUCUCCUGAAGUUGUGGGUGGGUUGAAGAGAACGACUUUCCCUGAAUGGAGGAGGGCCAGCCUUCAGUCAGGUGUAUAUGAGUAGCUGCAGUCCCCUGCAGAACCUCCAGUCAUGCUCUCACAUUCAUUAUCUUGGGGAUUGGGAUUUCAAU